AAGUUAGCGGCGGACGGGUGAGUAAUACCUAGGAAUCUGCCUGGUAGUGGGGGAUAACGUUCCGAAAGGAACGCUAAUACCGCAUACGUCCUACGGGAGAAAGCAGGGGACCUUCGGGCCUUGCGCCAUCAGAUGAGCCUAGGUCGGAUUAGCUAGUUGGUGAGGUAAUGGCUCACCAAGGCGACGAUCCGUAACUGGUCUGAGAGGAUGAUCAGCCACACUGGAACUGAGACACGGUCCAG
rnacentral:rRNA from 1 species